GCAUUGGUGGUUCAGUGGUAGACUUCUUGCAUGCCAUGCGGUAGACCUGGGUCCGAUUCCCGGCCAAUGCA
rfam:Danio rerio chromosome 4, GRCz11 reference primary assembly.